AAAUAUUAUAAGGACAUUCUUACACAUAUUGACUAAGUCCCAAGGCAAGCUCAAGAAGGCUUGUGUUGUGGGUAUUCAGACAACGAUACAUAUAAUAUAAUACAAAUACUUAAAUACAUAGAAAACAUCCAUGACUCAGGAACAAAUAUCUGUGCUCCUCUCACAAAUAGAUUCCCUUACCGGGAUUCGAACCCAGGACCAUCGGCUUCAUAGGCAGGGCCACUACUCACUAGGCCAGACUGGUCGUCAUUAUGCCUACACAUACGCACACAAACAAAUAUUACAGGUCCGACACGCGACAUGACUGAAAUUAUCUGAAGCGUAUUUCCAAUAUCGGAUCUUGGAAGGCGCCUAUGAGAAAAAUAGCUGCAGGAGAGUGCCAUAUGACAUCAAAUCCGCCUCUGUUGCGUUACAUAUCGUUUUUUAGUUUUGAUGAUUUAUUAAAUGAAUAAAAAAAACAUGUCUUAUAUUUCACUACCAACCGACAUCCCAUAUCGAAACGGGCAAUGUGAAAACGCUCUAAGCUAUAAAAUUUCUUGAGAAACGUGGAUAAGAAGUUGGUUUGAGCUGGCUCGUUGCUCAGUUAGGUUGUCUGUUCAUGACCGGUAGCCGUACCAUAAGUUGACACUUGACGUUUACGUUAGCAACUGUGGAAACUCGAUCGCAAUCCCUUUCGCUCGCAUCGUCCAACGUACUUAACUACAUGUCCAAUGCCAACUUUUGAAAUCGCAAAGCGUCUGGUUGACGUAACUGGUGACCGAAGACACAACGUAUCUGCAUUGCGGUACAACGAGAAAAUGCCGCCAGCAUCCUUGGUAAGUACAAUGCCUCAAGGGCCUAUUUUAGAUUUAAGCCGUAGUUAAUAGUAAUACCACUGUAUACAUAUAUCCAUUAUGUUUACUGCUAUUGUAAAUAAAAUAUGUUGAAAAGCUAA